UGCAAGCGUUAUCCGGAUUCAUUGGGUUUAAAGGGUGCGUAGGCGGUCUUAUAAGUCAGUGGUGAAAUACGGCAGCUCAACUGUCGAGGUGCCAUUGAUACUGUAGGACUUGAGUACAGACGAGGUAGGCGGAAUUGACGGUGUAGCGGUGAAAUGCUUAGAUAUCGUCAAGAACACCGAUAGCGAAGGCAGCUUACUAGGCUGUAACUGACGCUGAGGCACGAAAGUGUGGGGAUCAAACAGG
rnacentral:rRNA from 1 species